UGCGUAGGUGGUUGGUUAAGUUUGAGGUGAAAGCUCCGAGCUCAACUCGGAAAAUGCCUUGAAGACUAUCUGACUAGAGGAUUGGAGGGGAGAUUGGAAUUCUCGGUGUAGCAGUGAAAUGCGUAGAUAUCGAGAGGAACACCAGUGGCGAAGGCGAAUCUCUGGACAAUUCCUGACACUGAGGCACGAAAAGCCAAGGGAGCAAACG
rnacentral:rRNA from 1 species